rnacentral:rRNA from 1 species
UACGGAGGGUGCAAGCGUUAUCCGGAUUCACUGGGUUUAAAGGGUGCGUAGGUGGGUAUGUAAGUCAGUGGUGAAAUCCCCGAGCUUAACUUGGGACUGCCGUUGAUACUAUAUAUCUUGAAUAUCGCGUAGGUAAGCGGAAUAUGUCAUGUAGCGGUGAAAUGCUUAGAUAUGACAUAGAACACCAAUUGCGAAGGCAGCUUACUUCACGAUUAUUGACACUGAGGCACGAAAGCGUGGGGAGCAAACAGG